CAAAAAGCAAAGAAUGAAGAACCAUACUACUCCAUACUGGCAUUUGGUUCAGCCACAACACAAUACCAGUGUAUUAGUCAGAGUUUUCCAGAGAACCAAUAGGAUAUCUCAUCUGUAUCUAAUCUAGACCAUCAAGCUUCAGAUGAUCAUGUGACAAAGGUUCCAGUCAGUUCCAGGUGAAGACACCACCCCUGGUCAUUAAGGAGCUACCCUGUCUCCAUUAGACAGAGCAGGACAAGAGUUCUGUGAUCCACAAUGGGUAGGGACUACACCCUGAGCCAGCAUGAAGCAGUUACAGAAGAAAGACCGUCAGUCCCUCUGCCUCCCAUAAAGAUUUAUGGGGAUCACAUCUUUUGGGGGGAAAUAAGACAGGAGAAUAGGGCCUGGAGGCAGGGAACCUAAGGACUUAUUAGAACUAAAUCAAAGGAAAACACUUCAGUGAUGACAGGAAAUAUCCUCUUCAUUUACAUAGGGCAUACACCUAGUAAAUGACUUUGUAACUUGAAUUCAUCCUCUUCAUUUACAUAGGGUUUACACCAAGUAACCAGUGAAAAUCUCUAGAGGGUAUUUAAGCCCCAGAAAAUUCUGUAAUCGCACUGUUGAGACCCUAUGCUUGCUCCUGCUCCCACCCUGUGGAGUGUACUUUCAUUUUAAAAAAAUCUCUGCUUUUGUUGCUUCAUUGUUUCCUUGCUUUGUUUGUG
rnacentral:lncRNA from 1 species